CGGCAGCCAAUCAGCGCGCGGCUUCUAUAGGGCUUGAGUUAUUAGACGCUGAUCUCAAAACAUCCUUCAUCAGACACGAAGGAGAGGCCAACAGAUGAGGGAAGCCAUUUUUCUGCAAUGGAAUUAAAUGGCCAAGUGGGUUUUUCCUUUGUUGCAAAUGGGGAAUGUUUUUCCUUUGACUCUACCAUCCAGUUCAGGACGUCUCAGUGUGUUUAACAUUUGUCAACAGGCCCAAGGACUCACAGUUGGAAGACUGGAGAAGACUUUUUAAAAAGAUCUGGAUUUUUCCUUAUGACUUGGAAUCCAUCUUUGUCUUGUAUAACUAGGUCAUAGCACACCAUUCAUGUCAGCAGUUAACAGUUUUGAAUUACAAAAAAACCUAAGUAAAUGACAUAUUUUUUUUCCUCUUUUUGUUCUAUGGGUGGGUGGGGGGAGCUUGGAGCUGUCUUGAUCUGUAUUCUCUUGACUGAACAAUAAAUUUUUAAAUAUAUCUAGUUUCCUCUAUUAAACACUUAAACCUGGCCAUCUUAUUAACUCCUUCUCUCUUUUUAACAAGGUAACGUUUUAAAUGUAUAUAGCUUUAGGACUAGCGAAAUGGCAGCAACAAAAAAUUGUGAGCAGUUGUUACUCUUUCAGUUUUUAAAAAACCUUUUACAUUGUAAGUACCCAAUCCAUUCUGUCCUGACGCAGUACAGUUUUGAUGUUAAUGUUGCUGAGAUGUCCUUAAUUUUCCGAACCUUCAUCUGCAUGUAUGUCUUUGUCUCUCUUGUCUAAUAUAAGCCAGUUAAGAUGCUUGAGACGAUCUUGCUUUAUAAAGCUAAGGUUCUAGCUUUAUGCUUUUGAAAAUGUUUACAGCACUAAAUGCUAGUCAGCUUUCUUCCCCGUAGCUUGUACACUUUCUUUGAAAAUCGAUCUAUUUGAAGAAAAACAGCCCUGUUUUUCUCGUCUUUGGUGUUGGGGGUUGGGGGGAGCUGGUGGGUGAGGGAAAGGAAGACCUUUUCUUUGUGUAGAGAGACUAAAGCCGUCACAGGAAACUAGAUUAAAACUGGAAAACAAGUCCUAGCUGGUUCCAGCAAACACCAACGUUAAGUGGGGGGUAUUUUCUAUGGUGGUUGGGCGGCUGGUGCGUCUUUUGCCUUUUGUUUGAUUUGACUGUAUUUUCCCUUUUGUCUCUUAAUGACGAUCACACCAUUGCUAUAUCCAGAGCAGUAAACAGUCCUCAGCGAAGCCGCCUUUUUGCCUACCCAACCCUGGAAAGUUUGCAGAAGUGGAAGGAGCAGAACGUGAGGGUGUAACUUACAAAAAGCUUGAUCUUCUAGACUCCAUGGCACCGGGCUGAGCGGGUAAGUAAGAAAGAUAAAAAGUGCCUUUUGCCCCUUCGAGGAAACCCUUUUGCAGGCCAAGCAAGGGCUGCAAGUGUUUGGGAGCUGAGAGGAGAAGGAGGAUUCUGGAGCAUUGUAUUUGGCAGCCGGAGCGGGCAGUGGGCGGGGGGUUGGGACACGAAGGGCUCUUCGGACCCCUGUGCCUCUUCUGCCCCAAGGGCGAGAAGACGGGCUUCGCAGCGACCCUCGGGGGUCCAUGGAGCCGCCUGCCUUCGCCCCCUCGCUCUUCCCAGGUCUGAACCUGGAUGGGGAGAAGAAAUUGAAGUGCUUUGGAGACGGGGGACUUAAAACACUAGGGAGCCUCAUCGCCCAGCCUUGGGCCCACUUUCCUUUCGAUCGUGAGGAUUCCGCACCCCGAAGCCGGCUUCUCGGGGCUCCGGGGCGCGCCUGCGCUGGCAACGCGAAGGAGGACAAAAGGCCGGCGUCCAUGUUGGCACCAUGACGCAGCAUCUCCGCCCGCAGCCCGGCGCUCCUGUCCUCCCGGCCGCGCUCGCUCCUCCUCCCAAACACCAGUUUUCUUUACAGGCUUCGAGCCCGUCGCGGCUGGGCCGGGCUGGUCUGGCAGGCGGGCCCAGCCGGGCAGGGCUGCUUUGCUAAUGGCGGCGGCUCUCUUUCCUUCCUUCCUCCUUUCCUCCGUCCCCCCGGUCGUGGGGAGCCC
rnacentral:lncRNA from 1 species